rnacentral:rRNA from 1 species
GAUGAACGCUGGCGGCGUGCCUAAUACAUGCAAGUCGAGCGAACGGACGAGAAGCUUGCUUCUCUGAUGUUAGCGGCGGACGGGUGAGUAACACGUGGAUAACCUACCUAUAAGACUGGGGUAACUUCGGGAAACCGGAGCUAAUACCGGAUAAUAUUUUGAACCGCAUGGUUCAAAAGUGAAAGACGGUCUUGCUGUCACUUAUAGAUGGAUCCGCGCUGCAUUAGCUAGUUGGUAAGGUAACGGCUUACCAAGGCAACGAUGCAUAGCCGACCUGAGAGGGUGAUCGGCCACACUGGAACUGAGACACGGUCCAGACUCCUACGGGAGGCAGCAGUAGGGAAUCUUCCGCAAUGGGCGAAGGCCUGACGGAGCAACGCCGCGUGAGUGAUGAAGGUCUUCGGAUCGUAAAACUCUGUUAUUAGGGAAGAACAUAUGUGUAAGUAACUGUGCACAUCUUGACGGUACCUAAUCAGAAAGCCACGGCUAACUACGUGCCAGCAGCCGCGGUAAUACGUAGGUGGCAAGCGUUAUCCGGAAUUAUUGGGCGUAAAGCGCGCGUAGGCGGUUUUUUAAGUCUGAUGUGAAAGCCCACGGCUCAACCGUGGAGGGUCAUUGGAAACUGGAAAACUUGAGUGCAGAAGAGGAAAGUGGAAUUCCAUGUGUAGCGGUGAAAUGCGCAGAGAUAUGGAGGAACACCAGUGGCGAAGGCGACUUUCUGGUCUGUAACUGACGCUGAUGUGCGAAAGCGUGGGGAUCAAACAGGAUUAGAUACCCUGGUAGUCCACGCCGUAAACGAUGAGUGCUAAGUGUUAGGGGGUUUCCGCCCCUUAGUGCUGCAGCUAACGCAUUAAGCACUCCGCCUGGGGAGUACGACCGCAAGGUUGAAACUCAAAGGAAUUGGCGGGGACCCGCACAAGCGGUGGAGCAUGUGGUUUAAUUCGAAGCAACGCGAAGAACCUUACCAAAUCUUGACAUCCUUUGACAACUCUAGAGAUAGAGCCUUCCCCUUCGGGGGACAAAGUGACAGGUGGUGCAUGGUUGUCGUCAGCUCGUGUCGUGAGAUGUUGGGUUAAGUCCCGCAACGAGCGCAACCCUUAAGCUUAGUUGCCAUCAUUAAGUUGGGCACUCUAAGUUGACUGCCGGUGACAAACCGGAGGAAGGUGGGGAUGACGUCAAAUCAUCAUGCCCCUUAUGAUUUGGGCUACACACGUGCUACAAUGGACAAUACAAAGGGCAGCGAAACCGCGAGGUCAAGCAAAUCCCAUAAAGUUGUUCUCAGUUCGGAUUGUAGUCUGCAACUCGACUACAUGAAGCUGGAAUCGCUAGUAAUCGUAGAUCAGCAUGCUACGGUGAAUACGUUCCCGGGUCU